rnacentral:rRNA from 1 species
GGGUCAGUAGGUUGGUCGUGCCACCGGUACGUACUGGUCUCACUGAUUCCUCCUUCCUGAAGAACCGUAAUGCCAUUAAUUUGGUGUUGCGGGGAAACAGGACUGUGACUUUGAAAAAAUUAGAGUGUUUAAAGCAAGCUAACCCUUGAAUACAUUAGCAUGGAAUAAUGAAAUAGGACGAUCGAUCCUAUUUUGUUGGUUUCUAGGAUUGACGUA